UCUAUAGAGGCGUUUUCCGUGCCGGACCGUGUCCAAGUCUCCUGGAAAGGAGUAUCAAAGAGGGUGAUAAUCCCGUACUUAACACGACCACCGGUGCUCUGUGAUACGUCUUCUACGAGUCGAGUUGUUUGGGAAUGCAGCUCAAAAUGGGUGGUGAAUUCCAUCUAAAGCUAAAUAUUGGCGAGAGACCGAUAGCGAACAAGUACCGUGAGGGAAAGAUGAAAAGCACUUUGGAAAGAGAGUUAAACAGUACGUGAAAUUGUUGAAAGGGAAACGAUUGAAGUCAGUCGUGUUCUUUGGAUUCAGCCAGUUCUGCUGGUCUACUUCCUUGGAACGGGUCAACAUCAGUUUUGUCCGGUGGAUAAAGGUAGUAGGAAUGUGACUUCUCCGGAAGUGUUAUAGCCUAUUAUCACAUACACUGGGUGAGACUGAGGACUGCAGCUCGCCUUUAUGGCCGGUCUCGGACACGUCGAGCUACGAUGUGAAA
rnacentral:rRNA from 1 species